rnacentral:rRNA from 1 species
AUUGAACGCUGGCGGAAUGCUUUACACAUGCAAGUCGAACGGCAGCACGGGGCAACCUGGUGGCGAGUGGCGAACGGGUGAGUAAUACAUCGGAACGUGCCCAAUCGUGGGGGGAUAACGUAGCGAAAGUUACGCUAAUACCGCAUACGAUCUACGGAUGAAAGCGGGGGAUCGCAAGACCUCGCGCGAAUGGAGCGGCCGAUGUCAGAUUAGGUAGUUGGUGGGGUAAAGGCUCACCAAGCAACGAUCUGUAGCUGGUCUGAGAGGACGACCAGCCACACUGGAACUGAGACACGGUCCAGACUCCUACGGGAGGCAGCAGUGGGGAAUUUUGGGACAAUGGCGCAAGCCUGAUCCAGCAUUCCGCGUGCAGGAUGAAGGCCUUC